CACAUUCUCUUGCAGUGCUGAACCCCUGUCAGGGAGUCUGCAGUCACCUGUGUUUGCUUAGGCCGGGUGGAUACACCUGUGCCUGUCCACAGGGCUCCACGCUGCUCGCCUUCAACAAGAAUGAAUGUGAUGCCGCCAUUGAGGCAGAGGUGUCCAUGCCGCUUGCAUGCAGAUGCAUGAACGGAGGAACGUGCUACACUGAUGAGGGAGGCCUGCCGAAGUGCAAGUGUCCUUACGGUUACUCGGGUAGUUACUGUGAUAUGGGGAAGUCUAGAGGUGCUCCUGCAGGAACAGGUAAACAAACCCUUCCUUGUUAAUUAGUUAUAUAACCGUUUCAUCGUGAACACCUUUACCCGUGGUCGGUGACACGUGAUGCUGUUAUUUAUCCACUCUAAUCACUCUAUCCAGCACGUUCAGCAUGUUCAUUUCCGUAACUCUUUAUUCCGAUAGUCCACUUUAGACGCUCUACUAACAGUAAGUAACUUUGCAACCACAUUUGCGAUCAUUAGAGUAUUAGCAGACUGUCUGUUUAAUGUCUCCUACCACUUUAUUCGGAUGGAUCCACCAACAUACAACAUACUGACUAUCAGAAACC